rnacentral:rRNA from 1 species
GAUGAACGCUGGCGGCGUGCCUAAUACAUGCAAGUCGAGCGAAUGGAUUAAGAGCUUGCUCUUAUGAAGUUAGCGGCGGACGGGUGAGUAACACGUGGGUAACCUGCCCAUAAGACUGGGAUAACUCCGGGAAACCGGGGCUAAUACCGGAUAACAUUUUGAACCGCAUGGUUCGAAAUUGAACGGCGGCUUCGGCUGUAGCUUAUGGAUGGACCCGCGUCGCAUUAGCUAGUUGGUGAGGUAACGGCUCACCAAGGCAACGAUGCGUAGCCGACCUGAGAGGGUGAUCGGCCACACUGGGACUGAGACACGGCCCAGACUCCUACGGGAGGCAGCAGUAGGGAAUCUUCCGCAAUGGACGAAAGUCUGACGGAGCAACGCCGCGUGAGUGAUGAAGGCUUUCGGGUCGUAAAACUCUGUUGUUAGGGAAGAACAAGUGCUAGUUGAAUAAGCUGGCACCUUGACGGUACCUAACCAGAAAGCCACGGCUAACUACGUGCCAGCAGCCGCGGUAA